UACGGAGGGUGCAAGCGUUAUCCGGAUUUACUGGGCGUAAAGAGUGUGUAGGCGGUGCUCCCAGUCUGUUGUGAAAUCUCCCGGCUUAACUGGGAGGGUGCAGCGGAAACUAGAGUGCUAGAGGGUGGGAGAGGUAAGCGGAAUUCCUGGUGUAGCGGUGAAAUGCGUAGAUAUCAGGAGGAACACCUGUGGUGUAGACAGCUUACUGGACCACUUCUGACGCUGAGACACGAAAGCGUGGGUAGCAAACAGG
rnacentral:rRNA from 1 species